AUUGAACGCUGGCGGCAGGCCUAACACAUGCAAGUCGAACGAGUGGCGGACGGGUGAGUAAUGUCUGGGAAACUGCCUGAUGGAGGGGGAUAACUACUGGAAACGGUAGCUAAUACCGCAUACCAUCGGAUGUGCCCAGAUGGGAUUAGCUAGUAGGUGGGGUAAAGGCUCACCUAGGCGACGAUCCCUAGCUGGUCUGAGAGGCUAACCAGCCACCGUGGAGAGGAGACACGGUCCAGACUACUACGGGGGGCAGCAGUGGGUAGUAUUGCACGAUGGGCGCGAGCCUGAUGCAGCCCUGCCGAGUGUAUGAAGAGGGCCUUAGGGUUGUAUAGUACUUUCAGCGGGGAGGCGUUACCCGCAGAAGUAGCACCGGCGAACUCCGCGCCAGCAGCCGCGGUAAUUC
rnacentral:rRNA from 1 species